rnacentral:snoRNA from 1 species
CUCCGGCCCCGGCGUCAUGUCUUCGGUGCCGACGGUUGCCAGUCCGCCGGUUCUAUCCUCAAGCGCCGGGACACGG